AUGGAAAGUAGAAGCAGAGACCGUAAAAAAAGUCACACCUGGAAAUAUUUCAAUGAAAUUUCGUCCGAAAGUGUGACAUGUAAGCUGUGUGCGGCUGUUCUGAAGCGGACGAGUGGGAGCACAACAUCCAUGUUAAACCAUUUAGAAAGGAUCCAUCAUCUGUCGUUAAGACAUAUCAAAACUCAGCGAGAGUUGAUGGCUGCCGUUAGAGAGCAGAGGAUCGCUGACAACUCUUUUGGCGAGGAACCAGGCUACUCUGCUGGUCUGACCUUAAAGUUAAAAAGAGAAGCUGCAAUAAAGGCAGAGAAGACCAUGUCUAAGAGCACAUACGAAGAAGAGGAAGAUGAGGAGGAGGAUGAGCAUCUCCCCAAGACUGAGAUGUCAAAGCAAGAUCCCAAUACUUCAGAGGUAGCCAUGACAGAUGGGACUGCAGAGCAGUUUGCGUUUCAGUAUGGACUGGAGGGAACAACAUUUAAGAAUGAGAAUGGGGAGUGUUCCAAGAGCCAUCUGUCCAUCAUCAAAGUGGAACAACUGGACCCCAUUCUCCCUGAACAAAACAACUCCAGCUGUGGUUCUGGGUCACCUGGGGAUCCUGGGCCUCCUGGCUCGUCUGGUUUUGGGUCCAGUAUGAGUCCAGCUGCACAGUUCUUCAGGAAGUGCCACCAGGCAGGCUGCACACAGUUCAUCUUCUCGGAGUUUGCCUCCCGCCUCAACACUAUCACUGAGAGGAUUUCAUCCCAGCAGGCCAGCGAAGAAGAUUUCAACCUCACCCUGAAAGUGCUGGAGGCCUCUGGGAUGCUGCCAGAGAUCUUUGCAAAGAGAGACCAAGAAAUGGAGAAGAGACUGAAGGAUCUGCAGAGAGAGACUGAAGCGGUGAGGACUGCCAGGUCUGCCAUGAGAGAUGCCUGUGUCAUGAGCUUCACCCCAUCAUGA
rnacentral:lncRNA from 13 species